GUCACGUGCUAAACAAAUUCAUUGGAACUGGCUGUAGUAAAACUGGUUUCUCCAAGACUUGCUCCUCAUAGAAGUGCCGGUUUCUGCAUCCUUUGAAGCAGAUUUUGGUGGCAAUUUAUGGAUUUUACACAUCAUGGGAGAUGCCAGGCCAUGUUUUUAUCCCGCCAGAAUCCCUGCCAUCCUCUGCAGUGUCAGGACAAGAUAUAAUAGAAGCACUAAGAAUCUGGGAAACAAAUGUUUUAAAACCAACAAGAUCUCCAUAGCAAAAUUGUUUGAAGAGCGGCAUGAUUUAUUUGGAAAACCAGCAGAAUUGGAAAAUUUUUUAUAGGAAGGAGGACAAUUUAUCCAUGGAGCUUAUGAAAAAUUCACUGUCCUUGAUGCCUUGAAAAUUUGCAGAAGUCUGGACCCAAACUGUGUGGGAUGGAAAUGUGAUGGGAAUUUCUGAACUCCAGUACUCCUCAAACCCAUCAAGAUAGCUGGUAAUGUACAACUGGGCUGCACUGAGAAAU